rnacentral:rRNA from 1 species
CCUACGGGAGGCAGCAGUGGGGAAUAUUGGACAAUGGGCGAAAGCCUGAUCCAGCAAUGCCGCGUGUGUGAAGAAGGCCUUCGGGUUGUAAAGCACUUUAAGUUGGGAAGAAAAAGCUCUGGCUAAUAUCUAGAGCCUUGACGGUACCAACAGAAUAAGCACCGGCUAACUCUGUGCCAGCAGCCGCGGUAAUACAGAGGGUGCUAGCGUUAAUCGGAUUUACUGGGCGUAAAGCGUGCGUAGGCGGUUUGAUAAGUCGAUUGUGAAAGCCCCGGGCUUAACCUGGGAAUUGCAGUUGAUACUGUCAGACUAGAAAACGGUAGAGGGAGGCGGAACUCCAGGUGUAGCGGUGAAAUGCGUAGAUAUCUGGAAGAACACCGAUGGCGAAGGCAAACCUCCUGGGCCUGUUUUGACGCUGAGGCACGAAAGCGUGGGUAGCAAACAGGAUUAGAUACCCUGGUAGUCCACGCCGUAAACGAUGAGAACUUGACGUUGGUUUGCUUAGCAAAUCGGUGUCGUAGCUAACGCGAUAAGUUCUCCGCCUGGGGAGUACGGGCCGCAAGGUUGAAACGUCAAAGGAAUUGACGG